UCAGUCCCUGGAUGUGUUGCAGGCGUGACUGCUGGGUCUCCUGUGUUUCAGUAGGUGUCAGAGAGGAAAGAGGCUGUGUCUACGCUUGGUGUUCUAACCUGUGAACAUCUGGAUGACUAGUAGCCUAACACU